rnacentral:hammerhead_ribozyme from 1 species
AUCCAGCUGACGAGUCUUAAAUAGGACGAAAUGCGUAUCCUGGAU